CUCCAUCUCCAGUUUACAUAUACAAGUCACCACCUCCUCCAUCACCUACUUAUGUUUACAAGUCACCACCACCACCAGUGAAGUCACCUCCCUAUUACUAUCAAUCUCCACCUCCACCAUCACCAAAACCUCAGCCUCCUUAUUAUUAUCACUCUCCACCUCCUCCAACACCAGUUGUUAAGCCACCAUACUACUACCAAUCUCCACCUCCUCCAUCUCCAAAACCUAAGCCUCCAUACUACUACCAAUCUCCUCCUCCUCCAUCACCAAAACCUAAACCUCCUUACUACUACCAAUCUCCACCUCCUCCAUCACCAAAACCUCAGCCUCCAUACUACUAUCAAUCUCCACCUCCUCCAACACCAGUUGUGAAGCCACCAUACUACUACCAAUCUCCACCUCCUCCAUCACCAAAACCUCAGCCUCCUUACUAUUACCAAUCUCCACCUCCUCCAACACCAGUUGUUAAGCCACCAUACUACUAUAAAUCUCCACCUCCCCCAUCACCCUCUCCUCCACCACCAUACUACUACAAAUCUCCACCACCACCAUCCCCAUCACCGCCACCUCCAUACUACUAUAAAUCUCCACCUCCACCAUCACCGGUUGUUAAGCCACCAUACUACUAUAAAUCCCCACCUCCCCCAUCACCCUCUCCUCCCCCUCCAUACUACUAUAAAUCUCCACCUCCAUACUACUACCACUCUCCACCUCCACCAUCACCAGUUGUUAAGCCACCAUACUACUACAAAUCUCCACCUCCACCAUCACCCUCACCUCCCCCUCCAUACUACUAUAAAUCUCCACCCCCACCUUCACCAUCCCCUCCUCCUCCAUACUAUUAUAAAUCACCACCACCACCAUCCCCAUCACCGCCACCUCCAUACUAUUACAAAUCCCCUCCACCUCCAUCCCCAUCUCCACCGCCUC
rnacentral:lncRNA from 1 species